GGCCGGCUCCUGAUCCGAGGGGGGCCCCCACGCCUGCUCCGGCCCCUCGGGUCAGCCCUCCCCUCCCCUCCCCUGCCCUCCCCCUGCCUGCGUGUGUCUUUGAGCCGGGUUGUGUGCAUUUGUGAGCCUGCACACCCCAGGGACCCUCCCCUCUCCUUCCACCCUGACCUCUACCUUGCGCUGACCCCGGCUGGGGGUGCAGGAGCGUCCUGCAGACACAGCCCAGGGCAGGGAGGGGCUCAAGGUGUGCGGGCUGCGAGGUCGCUUCUCCUUAACUCUGCAUCGCCCUCACUCCUGCGUCUCUCUGUCUCUCCUCUCUCUCUCUCUUUCUCUCUCUCUCUCUCCUCUCUCUCCCUCCCUGCUAAGUCUGCGCUGCUGCAGGAGGGCUGGGGGAAGGGCAGGGGUGCGGAGAGGGGGUGCCUGGUGUCUUCUUUCUCUCUGCCUCCCCCCCCACCAAGUGCGGACGCAUCAGGAGCUCUGGCCUCCCCCACCCCUGCAUUCGCGAUUGGCUCCCGGAGAAGGUGGAUGGCGCUGCCGCGGCUGCAGCAUCUCCCUGGGAGCCGCACAGGGCGCAUCGUACCCGGGAGCCGCGACCCUGCGCCCGCCGCCACUGUCGCCAGCCUGGCUGGAGGGGCUCCCCGAGACCAGGAAGCCUCCAGUUUAUUUGGGGUUCACAGACUUCAGUCCAAACUCAGAAGGCGAGCAGGAGGGUGUGCUCGAGCGACGUGCCCGCUGCGCCAGGUCUGCCGUUUUGCGAUGCUCCAGGAGCCACUGGCAGCAGCGAGAUCCCAGUGACGGACACCGGUUCCCGGGCUGCCCCCGCUAGUUGGAUGGCGGGAGUGGUGAGUGGAUGUCGGUGUCUCAGAUGUGCAGUGAGGGUUGAGAAGCCCUGAUUUAAGACCCGUUGGCUGCGACAGAGACGAGGUGUACAAAUCAAUGGGCUGCUGCGCAGAGAAGGGCCUGGGAGGGGGAGGCGGGUGAUGCUGGGGUCGCCCACUGCUGGCUAGGCUGGGGCAGUGGAGAGGGGGGUGGGAGAAGACGCCGGCUGCAGCACUGGGGCUGGGGGAGGGAGGCCGAGGGCCAAGGGACCCCCCGACUGGACAGUGGACCCCUUCCCCGCGGGCAGUGUCCUUGUGGGUGGGCCUGCCUGGUCUGGAGGAAUCAAAAGAGUGUGUGGCACAGGAAGGAAAGGAAAGGCCAGCACAGAGAGCACCCGAGGGCACCCAGGGGACUGAGUGCAGGACGGGCCUGGGAAGGGCUGGCUCCCCUCACCACUCGGAGGCUGGGUGACACUGGGAGCCUCUCAAGGUGACAUUGAGAGGCCUCUCCAGGUAAACAAGAGCUGGACCAACAUGCACGCCCAGCUCAGCCCUUCCCUCAGCCGCCGUGGGGAUGGGCCCUGCUGGUGAGGGCCCCGGUGCCGGCUGGCCUGGGAGCUCCUGCCCGCGAGGGUCUGUGUGGAGAGAGCUGGCACCCCUCUGCUCCUCAUCACUCAGGACACCAGGGAAGAUCAGGGACCAGCGGAACCACAGGAUUAAGUGCUGUGAGGGCUGCCCGUCCCCGUUCCCACUGGAAGAAGGGCUCAGGCCAUGGUCAGCCGUCCAGGAACACCGCCCACAAGCCCUGCUGGAAGAGCGAGGGCUUGGGUGUGGCCACACCCUAUGCGGCUGAAGCCAGCAGGGCUGCUGGUGUUUUCUCUAGCUCCUCCGUCAGGCAGGGCCCUGGGGGUGCAAGGUGAGGGGUUCAGGGCAUUGUGUCCCACAGACCCCCAGCAUUAUUGGCACUCUCAAUCAGG
rnacentral:lncRNA from 1 species